CAAAAAGACAAAAAGGAACCAAGAGUUCUAGUUUUUUCUGUGUCUUUUUGUCUCAGACCAACACAGCUACCAAGUACUCUCCUCAAGUUAAGCUUUUACAACCUUUCUUUGAAGAACUAAAUAAAAGUCACUUUUUUUCUUUUAAAAGGUAACCAGUGAAGGAGCUACCUUCUUUUAUACAGUAGACCAAGAGGUCAGAGUGCUCAUCCAGGCAGCGAUAGGCAAAGGCCCUAUGACUGAAGGGCUUCAAACCCACUUCUCCCACCUCAGACGGCCCUAACCAUUAGAGUGUACUGAGAUGGGUGGACAUUUUCAAUCUCACUUGCAAAAUCUGUGCCCCUGCAGGAAAUAAUUAAUGAUUGGAGCCAGAAGGAAAAUACAAGAAGGAGUAUGACUCUGAUUAAGGUAGUCACCUGGAAGGAAGGUGGAGGAACUGAAGUGCAAAAAGAUAUCUAUUGCACUGGCAAUAUCUCCACGCUCCUGAAAUGUUCAGAAAUGUGGUCCGGCUAGAGCACUGGAUAGAAUUUGGAAGACAUAGCUUCUUUUUCCAGCUCUUCCCAUUGGGCUGCUAGAUGACAGUGGGUCUGAGGAAGAGCUACACUGGUUGAUUAUUGCAGGAAUGAAAGGCACUCUGACCUUGUCGACCAAACGCCUUGCUGCUUUCAAUGUUGC